ACCAGUGGCAAUUGUACAUUGAAUGCUCCCAUUCCCAAUGGAUCACUGAAGUUAAGUGAUGUUGCAUGUGGUUAGAAUCUGAAUGGGUGACCAUCUGGACAAUCUUGUGUUGAAAAUG
rnacentral:rRNA from 1 species